rnacentral:rRNA from 1 species
GACGAACGCUGGCGGCGUGCUUAACACAUGCAAGUCGAACGGAAAGGCCCUGCUUUUGUGGGGUGCUCGAGUGGCGAACGGGUGAGUAACACGGGAGUAACCUGCCCUUGACUUUGGGAUAACUUCAGGAAACUGGGGCUAUUACCGGAUAGGAGCUCCUGCUGCAGGGUGGGGGUUGGAAAGUUUCGGCGGUUGGGGAUGGACUCGCGGCUUAUCAGCUUGUUGGUGGGGUAGUGGCUUACCAAGGCUUUGACGGGUAGCCGGCCUGAGAGGGUGACCGGCCACAUUGGGACUGAGAUACGGCCCAGACUCCUACGGGAGGCAGCAGUGGGGAAUAUUGCACAAUGGGCGGAAGCCUGAUGCAGCAACGCCGCGUGCGGGAUGACGGCCUUCGGGUUGUAAACCGCUUUCGCCUGUGACGAAGCGUGAGUGACGGUAAUGGGUAAAGAAGCACCGGCUAACUACGUG